GACGAACGCUGGCGGCGUGCCUAAGACAUGCAAGUCGAACGGACCUUGCAUUCUCAGCGGCUUCGGCCAAAGAGGAUGCGCUGGUUAGUGGCGGACGGGUGAGUAACGCGUGAGUAACCUGCCUUUCAGAGGGGGACAACAGCUGGAAACGGCUGCUAAUACCGCAUGAUACACAGAAGAGGCAUCUCUUUUGUGUCAAAGAUUUAUCGCUGAAAGAUGGACUCGCGUCUGAUUAGCUAGUUGGUGAGGUAACGGCCCACCAAGGCAACGAUCAGUAGCCGGACUGAGAGGUUGAACGGCCACAUUGGGACUGAGAUACGGCCCAGACUCCUACGGGAGGCAGCAGUCGGGAAUAUUGCACAAUGGGCGCAAGCCUGAUGCAGCAACGCCGCGUGAAGGAAGAAGGCUUUCGGGUUGUAAACUUCUUUGACAGGGGACGAAAAAAAUGACGGUACCCUGAAAACAAGCCACGGCUAACUACGUGCCAGCCG
rnacentral:rRNA from 1 species